rnacentral:tRNA from 1 species
UGCGGGGUGGUAGCAGUUGGCAGCUCGUCAGCCCCAUAAGCUGAAGGUCGCAGGUUCGAGUCCUGCCCCCGCAACCA